rnacentral:rRNA from 1 species
CCCCUAGAUGUUCUGGGCCGCACGCGCGCUACACUGAACAGUUCAACAAGUCUUAACCUUGGCCGAUAGGUCUGGGUAAUCCUUGAACGCUGUUCGUGAUUGGGAUAGACCUUUGCAAUUAUGGGUCUUCAACGAGGAAUUCCUAGUAAACGCAAGUCAUCAGCUUGCAUUGAUUACGUCCCUGCCCUUUGUACACACCGCCCGUCGCACCUACCGAUUGAAUGGUCCGGUGAAAUCUCGGGACGGCGGCUUGGUCGCUUGCGUCCGACUGCUGAAACUUGAUUAAACCAUAUCAUUUAGAGGAAGGUGAANUCGUAACA